rnacentral:rRNA from 1 species
GGGUUGUGAGGUUAAGCGACUAAGCGUACACGGUGGAUGCCCUGGCAGUCAGAGGCGAUGAAGGGCGUGCUAAUCUGCGAUAAGCGCCGGUAAGGUGAUAUGAACCGUUAUAACCGGCGAUACCCGAAUGGGGAAACCCAGUGUGACUCGUCACACUAUCAUUAACUGAAUCCAUAGGUUAAUGAGGCGAACCGGGGGAACUGAAACAUCUAAGUACCCCGAGGAAAAGAAAUCAACCGAGAUUCCCCCAGUAGCGGCGAGCGAACGGGGAGGAGCCCAGAGCCUGAAUCAGCAUGUGUGUUAGUGGAAGCGUCUGGAAAGGCGCGCGAUACAGGGUGACAGCCCCGUACACAAAAGCGCAUGUGCUGUGAGCUCGAUGAGUAGGGCGGGACACGUGGUAUCCUGUCUGAAUAUGGGGGGACCAUCCUCCAAGGCUAAAUACUCCUGACUGACCGAUAGUGAACCAGUACCGUGAGGGAAAGGCGAAAAGAACCCCGGCGAGGGGAGUGAAAAAGAACCUGAAACCGUGUACGUACAAGCAGUGGGAGCACCCUUUGGGUGUGACUGCGUACCUUUUGUAUAAUGGGUCAGCGACUUAUAUUCUGUAGCAAGGUUAACCGAAUAGGGGAGCCGGAGGGAAACCGAGUCUUAACCGGGCGUUAAGUUGCAGGGUAUAGACCCGAAACCCGGUGAUCUAGCCAUGGGCAGGUUGAAGGUUGGGUAACACUAACUGGAGGACCGAACCGACUAAUGUUGAAAAAUUAGCGGAUGACCUGUGGCUGGGGGUGAAAGGCCAAUCAAACCGGGAGAUAGCUGGUUCUCCCCGAAAGCUAUUUAGGUAGCGCCUCGUGAAUUCAUCUCCGGGGGUAGAGCACUGUUUCGGCUAGGGGGCCAUCCCGGCUUACCAACCCGAUGCAAACUGCGAAUACCGGAGAAUGUUAUCACGGGAGACACACGGCGGGUGCUAACGUCCGUCGUGAAGAGGGAAACAACCCAGACCGCCAGCUAAGGUCCCAAAGUCAUGGUUAAGUGGGAAACGAUGUGGGAAGGCCCAGACAGCCAGGAUGUUGGCUUAGAAGCAGCCAUCAUUUAAAGAAAGCGUAAUAGCUCACUGGUCGAGUCGGCCUGCGCGGAAGAUGUAACGGGGCUAAACCAUGCACCGAAGCUGCGGCAGCGACACUGUGUGUUGUUGGGUAGGGGAGCGUUCUGUAAGCCUGUGAAGGUGUGUCGUGAGGCAUGCUGGAGGUAUCAGAAGUGCGAAUGCUGACAUAAGUAACGAUAAAGCGGGUGAAAAGCCCGCUCGCCGGAAGACCAAGGGUUCCUGUCCAACGUUAAUCGGGGCAGGGUGAGUCGACCCCUAAGGCGAGGCCGAAAGGCGUAGUCGAUGGGAAACGGGUUAAUAUUCCCGUACUUGGUGUUACUGCGAAGGGGGGACGGAGAAGGCUAUGUUGGCCGGGCGACGGUUGUCCCGGUUUAAGCGUGUAGGUGUGUGUUCCAGGUAAAUCCGGUUCACUUUAACACUGAGGCGUGACGACGAGGCACUACGGUGCUGAAGCAACAAAUGCCCUGCUUCCAGGAAAAGCCUCUAAGCAUCAGGUAACAUCAAAUCGUACCCCAAACCGACACAGGUGGUCAGGUAGAGAAUACCAAGGCGCUUGAGAGAACUCGGGUGAAGGAACUAGGCAAAAUGGUGCCGUAACUUCGGGAGAAGGCACGCUGACACGUAGGUGAAGUGAUUUACUCAUGGAGCUGAAGUCAGUCGAAGAUACCAGCUGGCUGCAACUGUUUAUUAAAAACACAGCACUGUGCAAACACGAAAGUGGACGUAUACGGUGUGACGCCUGCCCGGUGCCGGAAGGUUAAUUGAUGGGGUCAGCGCAAGCGAAGCUCCUGAUCGAAGCCCCGGUAAACGGCGGCCGUAACUAUAACGGUCCUAAGGUAGCGAAAUUCCUUGUCGGGUAAGUUCCGACCUGCACGAAUGGCGUAAUGAUGGCCAGGCUGUCUCCACCCGAGACUCAGUGAAAUUGAACUCGCUGUGAAGAUGCAGUGUACCCGCGGCAAGACGGAAAGACCCCGUGAACCUUUACUAUAGCUUGACACUGAACAUUGAGCCUUGAUGUGUAGGAUAGGUGGGAGGCUUUGAAGUGUGGACGCCAGUCUGCAUGGAGCCGACCUUGAAAUACCACCCUUUAAUGUUUGAUGUUCUAACGUGGACCCGUUACCCGGGUUGCGGACAGUGUCUGGUGGGUAGUUUGACUGGGGCGGUCUCCUCCUAAAGAGUAACGGAGGAGCACGAAGGUUGGCUAAUCCUGGUCGGACAUCAGGAGGUUAGUGCAAUGGCAUAAGCCAGCUUGACUGCGAGCGUGACGGCGCGAGCAGGUGCGAAAGCAGGUCAUAGUGAUCCGGUGGUUCUGAAUGGAAGGGCCAUCGCUCAACGGAUAAAAGGUACUCCGGGGAUAACAGGCUGAUACCGCCCAAGAGUUCAUAUCGACGGCGGUGUUUGGCACCUCGAUGUCGGCUCAUCACAUCCUGGGGCUGAAGUAGGUCCCAAGGGUAUGGCUGUUCGCCAUUUAAAGUGGUACGCGAGCUGGGUUUAGAACGUCGUGAGACAGUUCGGUCCCUAUCUGCCGUGGGCGCUGGAGAACUGAGGGGGGCUGCUCCUAGUACGAGAGGACCGGAGUGGACGCAUCACUGGUGUUCGGGUUGUCAUGCCAAUGGCACUGCCCGGUAGCUAAAUGCGGAAGAGAUAAGUGCUGAAAGCAUCUAAGCACGAAACUUGCCCCGAGAUGAGUUCUCCCUGAGACUUAGAGUCUCCUGAA